GAGGCAGCAGGCUAAAAGUUUGUUACAUGCAGUGUAAGAAAAUGUCCGGAGGUGCUGACAUGCUUCACUCCUCCCAUACCUCUUAUAUCUUUGGGAAGCUUGACAUGCCAUAAUCUUUUUACAAAUCAAUCAAAAAAGAGAGGUCUUCAGUAAAGGCACUAAGAAGAAAACUGUGUUCUGUCAUUCCUGGAACCAUCUUCUCAUAUUGUAUGUUUAGCUCGCUGCAUAGGCUGAGUAGCCAUACACUCAACCGAGGGCAGAAGAGAGGAUAUUUUUUAAAUCAACCAGGUGGCCUAUUAACAGUCUAGUGAGAUUGUACCAGUUCCCAGCAUCCAUCCGAAUGGGAAUUAAUGUGCAACAUAAGAGAGAUACAGAGAGAUACAAUUUUGGACACUAACAAAAUCAAUCCCUAUCAGAGGCAUAAUAUCUUGUAAGUCAAAUGGUGUGUUCUGUCUUAUCACUUGUCCUUGUGGGAAAGCCUUUUUAUCACAAUGCAAACAGACACAGCAAACCUUAAGGCCAAAAGACAUACCACUGGUUCAUCAGGAAGUAUGAUUACAUCUUCAGCAGAGAGGUUAUCAUAAAGGUCAUCAUUAAAGUCCCCGCCAAAAGAACCAUCAUCACCAAGAGACUGUUAACGAGAGAGAGACAUUUGUUCAGCAAUCCAUUCAGAUUGAAUGUUCUUGGAGGUCUACACAAAGACAGAGGAUGGGGCAUCUACUCACCAGAAGGUUACAGGAGUUUGAUUGACCAACUUCUGAUUCUGUCAGGGAGAGGCUGUAGAGGGACCUGCCUUCUUCUGGACACUCUUCUACCUGAUCAGCUGGAUUCUGAAUGGGGGCAACCAGCACUAUGCGAUGGGUAUGGCUGGUGUUGACCAAAUCCCAGUAUCCAGUGUUCUUCAUUACACGCUGUAUAGUUUAAAUCAACUAGUACAAAUCAAUUCAAAUUAAACAAUUCAAAGUUAUAUACAGUUAACAACAUCUAUCUCAAUCCAAUAUAAAACUACUUCUGUCACCUUG